GGAGUGAAAACUCAGAGCAAUAUAUUGUCCAGAUGGCAGCCAAGGCCCAAACUUACAUCAAGCAGAUACCUUUCCCUUGGAGAACAGAUGCAGUGUUGAGGGACACAAUGAGGAGGGGGUGAUGGUACAAAUAAUGAUGAGAUUCUUGUGAUUAAUAUCACAUUUAAAUCUACAUAAAGAACAACGCUGCACUUCAGAAAUUUCUCAUGCUCUUAAGGGAUUUGGAGCGCAAGUUGUUUGAUGAGGAACCUGGGAUGGAUUCAGUUUCGGAACGGAAAGGGUCCUUUGAGUGCAUGGCCUAAGAGGAAAUAUGUGUUCUACUCCAGCACAGUGCCACAGUGGUUUUCAGAACUGAACUGUGACUGGAGAAGACGGAAGUACGACUAAGAUGCCUCCGUUUGGUCAGGACAUCUUCCACAACUAAGUAAGGAAAACAAAAGCCCAGUGAUAACUCUGUAGUCCCUAAAGGACAGCAGAACAACGCUGCUUUUGGUCUAGAUAGGUUACGUUGCAUCAGCAAGCACUGUGACUUGACAGAUGUUAACUCGAAGAGUAAAACAGUUGGUGCUGGGAGUACACCAGGAGAGUAUAAAGGAGGCUAUUCUGAACUAGCCAACUGUAGACUUAAUUACUGUUAGGAUUUAAUGUGUCAUAUUACUUUAACAUGAAA
ensembl:lncRNA